UGGGGAAUUUUGGACAAUGGGCGAAAGCCUGAUCCAGCAAUGCCGCGUGUGUGAAGAAGGCCUUCGGGUUGUAAAGCACUUUUGUCCGGAAAGAAAUCCUUGGCUCUAAUACAGUCGGGGGAUGACGGUACCGGAAGAAUAAGCACCGGCUAACUACGUGCCAGCAGCCGCGGUAAUACGUAGGGUGCAAGCGUUAAUCGGAAUUACUGGGCGUAAAGCGUGCGCAGGCGGUUUGCUAAGACCGAUGUGAAAUCCCCGGGCUCAACCUGGGAACUGCAUUGGUGACUGGCAGGCUAGAGUAUGGCAGAGGGGGGUAGAAUUCCACGUGUAGCAGUGAAAUGCGUAGAGAUGUGGAGGAAUACCGAUGGCGAAGGCAGCCCCCUGGGCCAAUACUGACGCUCAUGCACGAAAGCGUGGGGAGCAAACAGGAUUAGAUACCCUGGUAGUCCACGCCCUAAAACGAUGUCAACUAGUUGUUGGGGAUUCAUUUCCUUAGUAACGUAGCUAACGCGUGAAGUUGACCGCCUGGGGAGUACGGUCGCAAGAUUAAAACUCAAAUGAAUUGACGGGGU
rnacentral:rRNA from 1 species